rnacentral:rRNA from 1 species
AUAUAAGUUACUCAAGUGCAUAGAAUGGAUGCCUCGACACCAAACUUCGAUGAAGGACGUGAUUAACUGCGAUAAGCCUCGGUGAGCUGUUCAAUAAGCUUUGACCCGGGGAUUUCCGAAUGGGGAAACCUUACCGGAGUAAUGUCCGGUAGCCUCCACUUUAUUGUGGGGGAGAUUACUGGGGGAACUGAAACAUCUUAGUACCCCAGGAAAAGAAAGCAACCGCGAUUCCCAAAGUAGCGGCGAGCGAAAUGGGAACAGCCCAAACUUCUUGUGCGUGAUAGGUUACAGCCGUUUCACAAGGAGUGUUAUAGGAGCGCUGACUGUUAACUGUAAGUGACGGCAAUAUGUUGUUCUGUUAUUCGAAUGAGCCUGGAAAGGCCAACCAAAGACGGUAAUAGUCCGGUAGAUUAAAACAGGUCAAUAUGUUGAUGCGAUUUCCUGAGUAGGGUCGGACACGUGAAAUCCGGCUUGAAUUCGGGAGGACCACCUCCCAAGGCUAAACAGGUUUGGUGAUCAAUAGUGAACUAGUACCGCGAGGGAAAGGUGAAAAGCACCCCGGUUAGGGGGAUGAAAUAGACCCUGAAAUUCUAUGCAUACAACGAGUGGGAGCCCUUUGGGGUGACCGCGUACUUAUUGGAGAACGGACCAUCGAGUUAGCUGUAUGGCGCAUUAGGUUAAGGGAGUUACACCCGAAGCCAUAGUGAAAGCGAGCCUGAAUAGGGCGAAAUCAGUGUCAUACACUAGACCCGAAACCGAGUGAGCUACCCAUGGACAGGCUGAAGAUCAUCUAGCGAUGAUUGGAGGGCCGAACACACGGAUGUUGCAAGAUCCGGUGAUGAUCUGUGGGUAGUGAUGAAAUUUCUAUCGAACUCGGAGAUAGCUGGUUCUCCCCGAUAUAGUUUUUGGACUAGCCUUUUGUUAAAGCCGUCAGGGGUAGAGCUCUGUUUAGGCUAGGGGACGAAAUAAGUCUACCAAACCUAGAUAAACUUCGAAUACUGAAGGCCUCUUUCAAGGGAGUCAGUCCGGGACAGCCAAGUGCCUCGGACGUGAGGGGAACAGCCCAGAUCGUCGUCUAAGGUCCCUAAUAGAAUCUAAGUGUUAAAGGAUGUGAAAUUACUUGUACAACCAGGAGGUUGGCUUAGAAGCAGCCAUCCUUUAAAGAAAGCGUAAUAGCUCACUGGUCUAUGUGAUUUCGCGCCGAAAAUUCAACGGGGCUCAAGAUUCUAACCGAAGACACGAGUUUGGUAGUGUGAACUUUGUUCGUUUUGAUAGCGAAUAAGGUUCACACUGCCAAGCGGUAGGGGAGCGUUCUUAUUGCAGUGAAGCUGCGCUGUAAGGCGUGGUGGAGCGAUAAGAAGUGAAAAUGAUGGUAUGAGUAACGUUUUAAGCUCGAUGAAAAAUCGGGCCACCGAAAACCCAAGGUUUCCCAAGCAACGUUAAUCGACUUGGGGUUAGUCGGUCCUAAGGUGAGGCCGAAAGGCGUAGCUGAUGGAUAACAGGUUAAUAUUCCUGUACAACCUUAUUUUCGCCCAAGCAAAACAUUUUGCAACUACUGAAGCCAAUUUCUCACUUCGGUGAGAAUGCGGACGACGUGGAAGCGGAUGUGGCGCUAGCUCAGGGGGGACGCAUCAGGAUAUUUGGAGCGUGUUAAUGAAUUCACGUACAAGUGUUUAGCUUAUGCUUUCGCAGGUAAAUCCGCGAGAGUUCGCGAGGCAUUAUGUAAAACACUUCCCGCGAGGGGAGCGAUUCCAAAGACUUCAGGUGCCAAGAAAAUCCCCGGUAGCGAGAAAAUGAGGUUACCGUACCGCAAACCAACGCUGGUGGGUAGGUAGAGAAUACUAAGGUGAUCGGGAUAACUUGCGCUAAGGAACUCGGCAAUACAGCAGGUGUAACUUCGGGAUAAACCUUGCCGUCUGAAAGCAUUUUAUGUUUUUCAUUCGGCCUCAGUAAAUGACUUCACGCAACUGUUUACCAAAAACACAGGUCUCUGCAAAUCCGUAAGGAUAUGUAUAGGGGCUGACGCCUGCCCAGUGCCAGAAGGUCAAGAGGAGGGGUGUAUGCUCUGAAUCUAAGCCCUGGUGAACGGCGGCCGUAACUAUAACGGUCCUAAGGUAGCGAAAUUCCUUGUCGGGUAAGUUCCGACCCGCACGAAUGGCGUAAUGGUGUGAAGACUGUCUCGGCGCAAGACCCGGUGAAAUUACAUUAUUGGUAAAAAUGCCAAUUAACCAUGGUAGGGCGAAAAGACCCCGUGCAGCUUUACUACAGCUUGACAUUGAGUCGAGAUAUAUUUUGCGCAGGAUAGAUGGGAGGCUAUGAAGCAUAGACUUUGGUCUGUGUGGAGCCAUCCUUGAGAUACCAUCCUUGAUAUAUUUUGCCUCUAACUUGCAGCGUUAAUCCGCUGUAAAGACAGUGUUUGGUGGGUAGUUUGACUGGGGCGGUUGCCUCCUAAAGAGUAACGGAGGCGCGCAAAGGUUCCCUAAGUCUGGAUGGAAAUCAGACUGAUAGUGUAAUCGCACAAGGGAGCUUAACUGUAAGACUGACACGUCGAACAGAUGCGAAAGCAGGUGAUAGUGAUCCGAUAUUUCCACGUGGGUGGGAUAUCGCUCAUCGGACAAAAGUUACGCCGGGGAUAACAGGCUGAUAGCGCCCAAGAGUUCAUAUCGACGGCGCUGUUUGGCACCUCGAUGUCGGCUCGUCGCAUCCUGGGGCUGGAGAAGGUCCCAAGGGUUGGGCUGUUCGCCCAUUAAAGCGGUACGCGAGCUGGGUUCAGACCGUCGUGAGACAGGUCGGCCUCUACCCUCCAUGGUCGCAGGAAAUUUGAGAGAAGUUGCCCCUAGUACGAGAGGACCGGGGCGAACGAACCUCUAGUGUAUCAGUUGUCGUGUCAACGGCACUGCUGAGUAGCUAUGUUCGGACGGGAUAACCGCUGAAAGCAUCUAAGUGGGAAGCCCUGCUCAAGAUUAGAUUUCCCCAUAGUCUCCUGGAAGAUUACCAGGUUGAUAGGCUUCAGGUGUAAGCACAGUGAUGUGUUCAGCCGAGAAGUACUAAUAGACAAUUGUCUUAUAUAU